GCCUAGGUGGCGGAACUGGUUUUACGCGUAGGUCUCAAAAACCUAUGUCCGCAAGGACAUGUGGGUUCGACUCCCACCCUAGGCA
rnacentral:tRNA from 1 species